rnacentral:lncRNA from 1 species
UCGCCUAAAAGGGGUUAAUUCUAAAAGCGCCUAAACUGUACAAUAAUAUAAAUAAAUUUUGCGAAACAAACAAUUGCCGCAAUUUUUAACUUUGGCCGAUGAAGAAAAAAAUAAAACAAAAAUUAUAAACUUAUUCUCCUCGAAGCUUUGCCACAUCAGUUUUCUAAAUAAUUGAUGAGAGGCUAUUCUGGUUUACUGAAACUUACUAUUGUCGUCCAAGCAUAUGUUUCUUAUACUAAUUCAAUAAAUAAAUGUUGCCACAUAUGUUUGCUUGAAAUAAUGGAGAUAUAUGUUCACUUCCGGUUUAAAAAGUGAAACUUCUGGUCUCACAUGAUAGCUUUAUUUACACUGAUUCCAAAAAUAUAUGGUUUCACCCGUAAUAGGGGAGAUACAUUGUAUUAGGUUCUUCCGUUCUAGUGAAGGUCACUUCCGGUCUCAAAUGAAAGAUUUGAGUAUGCAUAUUUAAAAAAUAUAUAGUAAAGGUAUAUGUCCAAAAAGGGCUUCUUCCAGUUUACUCAAGGUCACUUCUUGUUGAUAUUUUUCAAGGUCAUAUUUAACCAACAGUUUGCAAAAGACUCUAUGGCUUUAUAAUGUA